rnacentral:lncRNA from 1 species
GAUUAAUUAAAAUGAAGUGUGAGAACAGGUACAGUACAGUAUAGUUUUCAAAAUAUACAAAAAUAGUGUAUGGCUCAUAUCAAGAUUAUGUAUAAGGUAAAUACUGUAUUGCUGCUAUUAUUUAUUUGUAAGUUGUUUCCCUUAUUGGACGGAGUCAUUCUUGAGGUUAAUGGUGGUUAGAUAAAUGUUGUGCUGUAGAUGUAAUAUGUGAUUACUGUCAAGGAUAAAUGAUUGUUGAGUUUUAUUGUAAAUUGAAUGAGUUAAUAUGUAACAUGUGGGAGCUGGAAAAGUGAAGAAUGUACAGUGCAGUCUGACUUGAUAGUGGUACAGUACAGUACAGUACAAUACUGUACUGUAGUCAGAGAAAUUUUAAGUAAUUUUGCUCAGGAAAGAACUUUCCAUGUUUCCACAGAGCGCUUGCUGUUUUCUCUCGCUUAGUGUAUCAUGUAUCAAUACAGUACAGUACAGUACACUACAGUACAGUACAGUACAGUACAGUACAGUACAGUACCUUAGGUUAUGAACAUUAGUUAUCACAAACUUCUUAUGACUCGAGUUAUAUGAUAUUGUAUGAUAAAAACAAUCAGCAAUAAAAGCAAUUGUUGAGCUAUAAUAAACAAGUCAGCAGCACCUGUUAAUGAUACAGGACUAUACAGUACAAUAUUUAAAUUCCAAGGAGAAAUAUACAGUACCAGUGCAUUGUAUAGGUUCCCAUGUCUAAUUGGUGUAAUUUUUAUAUUCAAUGUGCUGUACUAAUUAAACAAAAUCUCAGGUUGAAAAAACUGUUAAAGAACAAAAGUAUUUUACCAGACCAGUCUAUUAUUUUGUUCAUGUAAACUGCUUUUGGUUGAUAUUAUACAUCUACUGUACAGCAUUAGGUGUGACUUGUGUACACUGGCACAUCUAGCUGGUCAUAUGAAUACUGUACUGGUAUAUAGUACAGUAAUGGACUGUAUGUUGCAGAAAUACUGUACAAGCAGUCCCUGAGUUACGACCAUCAGACUUACGAUCAUCUGCACUUAUGAACGGGAUCCCAUUAUAUCCAUGGCAAAAAUAUGCAAUUAAAAUCCCAUUUUAUACAUUAUUUUCAUUCUUUAUUGUUUAACAUCACUUUAUUUACAGUAUUUACGUUAUUUGUUAUGUUUAGGAUAUUAUUGUUGUUUUGUAUGGGCAGGGUUGUGCUUUAACUUAACCUAAACUAUGGAAUUAACACUGUUCUGACUUACAAACAAAUCGACUUACGAUCAGGGUCCAGGAACAUAUCCCUGUCCUAAGUCAGGGACUGCCUGUAUAGUAUAGUACAGUAUAUACUUUCCAGGGCUCACUCCAUCCUCUCACCACGUUACCAGUACAGUAGUAAUCAAAUGCCCUCUUACAGGAUUAAAAUUGAGAAAAAGCAAAUAAAGUGAUGAAGUAACACUACAAAUGUGAAGUGACAUAAUCAUACAAAGUUCAGUUUUGGGAUACAAUUCUUGUCAGAUUCAAAACAUUUCAAGUGUUGUCUUUGGCUGAUAAAAGUUGUCAUCAACUGUGGCUACACAAUGUAGAAUUUUUAACUCCAGUAACUACAGAAAUAUAUCACUUAAGAAAAAACUUGUUUGUUUAAUUUGGUAAAUACAAAUAAACAUGAUUACAGUACAGUACUAACCAAAUGAUUUCAAUUCAACUCUCUGAGAUUUUCUUUUAAGUUUUACCCACUUCUUUGUUGACAGCUUUAAGUCGCACCCAUUUCUCUAACAACAAAAAUAAAAUAUCAAGGUUUUUUAUUUUGUCUAUCAUGAUUUUAAAUAAAUAAAAAAAGUUUACUUACUGAGGAAUGAUUUUUGCCGAGUAAGGAGGAUCACGGUAGCUAUUAAUCCUUAUACAAUUAUACAGAUAAAAGCUCUUCUUUACCGUACAGUAUACUGUAGUAACUCUAAAGAAGGCAAACAUUGCUGUACAUGUUUAAAGGAAUUUGGCAGCCUGGAAAAUACAGUUAAACAGAAUUUCUUUAAAUAUUAAGAGUUAAUAUUGUUCAUUUUGAAACUGAGUAUUUAAGAAAAUUUAAAUUUUUUAAACUUUAUAAUUUCAU